UCCCGCAGUAAAGCGUUUACCCGCACUUGUCUUUCGCCUUUUACUAAAGACAACCGUGGACGUCUUACAAAAAUGCGGCUUCACCAAUUUCUGACUUCCCUCUGGGAGGA
rnacentral:snRNA from 1 species